rnacentral:misc_RNA from 1 species
GCUGGUAUUACAGCUUCAGCAAUGCCUCUAAUAAGAACCCAUAUUGAUCUCGAUGACUUGGAGAUAAAACUUGGAGAACUUGAAGCUGAGCUAAUAGAAGUGAAUGCAAAUAACCAAAAAUUGCAACGCACUUAUAAUGAGCUGGUGGAGUACAAACUUGUUCUUCAGAAGGCUGGUGAAUUUUUUAACUCGGCUCAAAGUAUUGCCGCAGCCCAGCAGAGAGAAAUUGAAGCUCAACAAAGUGCUGAUGGUUCUCUUGAGAGCCCCUUGUUGUUGGAGCAAGAAAUGUUGAAUGAGCCAUCAAAGCAAGUAAAGCUUGGUUCUAUCAGUGGCCUUGUUCCCAAAGAAAAGUCAAUGGCUUUUGAAAGAAUUUUGUUUCGUG